ensembl:lncRNA
AUGGCCCCGCCCCCACGGAAGGCGUCGUCCGUGGGGAACCUCCAGGUCUGCAGCCCACUGAGGACACACGUCAGCGCGUCAGGGGCCAGUGUUCUGCGUUCAGCGUUCUGCGUCCAGCGUUCUGCGUCCAGCGUUCUGCGUUCAGCGUUCUGCGUUCAGCGUUCUGCGUUCAGCGUUCUGCGUCAAGCGUUCUGCGUUAAGCGCUCUGCGUUCAGCGUUCUGCAUCAAGCGUUCUGCGUCAAGCGUUCUGCGUCAAGCGUUCUGCGUCCAGCGUUCUGCGUCCAGCGUUCUGCGUUCAGCGUCAAGCGUUCUGCGUCAAGCGAUCUGCGUUCAGCGUUCUGCGUCAAGCAUUCUGCGUUCUGCGUUCAGCGUUCUGCGUCAAGCGUUCUGCGUCAAGCGUUCUGCGUCAAGCGUUCUGCGUUCUGCGUCAAGCGUUCUGCGUUCAGCGUCCAGCGUUCUGCAAUUUGCGUUCUGUGCUCAGCUUGCAGCGUUCUGCGUCAAGCAUUUGGCGUUCUGUGUCAAGCUUUCUGCGUCAAGCGUUCUGUGUCCAGCAUUCUGCGUCCAGCGUUCUGCGUUCAGCGUUCUGCAUUCUGCAUCAAGCGUUCUGCGUCAAGCGUUCUGCGUCAAGCGUUCUGCGUUCAGCAUGCAGCGUUCAGCAUCCAGCGUUCUGCGCUAUGUGUUCAGCGUUCAGUGUUCAGCGUUCUGCGUUCAGCGUCAAGCGUUCUGUGUCCAGCAUUCUGCGUCCAGCGUUCAGCGUUCUGCGUCAAGCGUUCUGCGUCAAGCGUUCUGCGUCAAGCGUUCUGCGUCAAGCGUUCUGCGUCAAGCGUGCAGCGUUCAGCGUCCAGCGUUCUGCGCUAUGUGUUCAGCGUUCAGCGUUCUGCGUUCAGCGUUCAGCGUCCAGCGUUCUGCGUUCUGUGUCAAGCGUUCGGCGUUCUGUGUCAAGCUUUCUCCGUCAAGCGUUCUGUGUCAAGCGUUCUGCGUUCAGCGUUCUGUGUCAAGCGUUCUGCGUUCAGCGUCCAGCGGUUUGCGUUUUGCGUUCAGUGUUCAGCGUUCUGCGUUCUGCGUUCAGCGUUCUGCGUCAAGCGUUCUGCGUUCAGCGUUCAGCGUCCAGCGUUUUGCGUUCAGUGUUCAGCGUGCAGCGUUCUGUGUCAAGCUUUCUGCGUCAAGCGUUCUGUGUCCAGCAUUCUGCGUUCAGCGUUCUGUGUCCAGCAUUCUGCGUCCAGCGUUCUGCGUUCAGCGUUCUGCGUCCAGCGUUCUGCGUUUUGCGUUCAGUGUUCAGCGUGCAGCUUUCUGUGUCCAGCAUUCUGCGUCCAGCGUUCAGCGUUCAGCGUUCAGCAUUCAGCGUUCUGCGUUCAGCGUUCUGCGUCAAGCGUUCUGCGUCAAGCGUUCUGCGUUCAGCGUCCAGCGUUCUGCGUUUUGCAUUCAGUGUUCAGCGUGCAGCGUUCUGUGUCCAGCAUUCUGUGUCCAGCAUUCUGCGUCCAGCGUUCAGUGUUCUGCGUUCAGCGUUCUGCGUCAAGCGUUCUGCGUUCAGCGUUCAGCGUCCAGCGUUCAGUGUUCAGCGUGCAGCGUUCUGCGUUCUGUGUCAAGCGUUAUGUGUCCAGCAUUCUGCGUCCAGCGUUCUGCGUCAAGCGUUCAGCGUCCAGCGUUCUGCGUUUUGAGUCAGUGUUCAGCGUUCUGCGUCAAGCAUUCUGCGUCAAGCGUUCUGCGUCCAGCGUUCUGCGUUCAGCGUUCUGCGUUCUGCGUCAAGCGUUCUGCGUCAAGCGUUCUGCGUUCAGCGUUCUGCGUUCAGCGUUCUGCGUCAAGCGUUCUGCGUUCUGCGUUCAGCGUUCUGCGUUUUGCGAUCAGUGUUCAGCGUGCAGCGUUCUGUGUCCAGCAUUCUGCGUCCAGCGUUCAGCGUUCUGCGUUCAGCGUUCAGCGUUCUGCGUUCUGCGUCAAGCGUUCUGCGUUCAGCGUCCAGUGUCCAGCGUUCUGCGUUCUGCGUCAAGCGUUCGGCGUUCUGUGUCAAGCUUUCUGCGUCCAGCGUUCUGCGUCAAGCGUUCUGCGUUCAACAUUCAGCGUCCAGCGUCCAGCGUUCUGCGUUCAGUGUUCAGCGUGCAGCGUUCUGUGUCAAGCUUUCUGCGUCAAGCGUUCUGUGUCCAGCAUUCUGCGUCCAGCGUUCAGCGUUCUGUGUCCAGCAUUCUGCGUCCAGCGUUCUGCGUCAAGCGUUCUGCGUCAAGCGUUCUGCGUCAAGCGUUCUGCGUCAAGUGUGCAGCGUCAAGCGUUCGGCGUUCUGUGUCAAGCUUUCUGCGUCAAGCGUCCAGCGUUCAGCGUUCUGCGUUCAGCGUUCUGCGUCAAGCGUUCUGCGUUCAGCGUUCAGCGUCCAGCGUUCAGUGUUCAGCGUGCAGCGUUCUGCGUUCUGUGUCAAGCGUUAUGUGUCCAGCAUUCUGCGUCCAGCGUUCUGCGUCAAGCGUUCAGCGUCCAGCGUUCUGCGUUUUGAGUCAGUGUUCAGCGUUCUGCGUCAAGCAUUCUGCGUCAAGCGUUCUGCGUCCAGCGUUCUGCGUUCAGCGUUCUGCGUUCUGCGUCAAGCGUUCUGCGUCAAGCGUUCUGCGUUCAGCGUUCUGCGUUCAGCGUUCUGCGUCAAGCGUUCUGCGUUCUGCGUUCAGCGUUCUGCGUUUUGCGAUCAGUGUUCAGCGUGCAGCGUUCUGUGUCCAGCAUUCUGCGUCCAGCGUUCAGCGUUCUGCGUUCAGCGUUCAGCGUUCUGCGUUCUGCGUCAAGCGUUCUGCGUUCAGCGUCCAGUGUCCAGCGUUCUGCGUUCUGCGUCAAGCGUUCGGCGUUCUGUGUCAAGCUUUCUGCGUCCAGCGUUCUGCGUCAAGCGUUCUGCGUUCAACAUUCAGCGUCCAGCGUCCAGCGUUCUGCGUUCAGUGUUCAGCGUGCAGCGUUCUGUGUCAAGCUUUCUGCGUCCAGCGUUCUGCGUCAAGCGUUCUGCGUUCAACAUUCAGCGUCCAGCGUCCAGCGUUCUGCGUUCAGUGUUCAGCGUGCAGCGUUCUGUGUCAAGCUUUCUGCGUCAAGCGUUCUGUGUCCAGCAUUCUGCGUCCAGCGUUCAGCGUUCUGUGUCCAGCAUUCUGCGUCCAGCGUUCUGCGUCAAGCGUUCUGCGUCAAGCGUUCUGCGUCAAGCGUUCUGCGUCAAGUGUGCAGCGUCAAGCGUUCGGCGUUCUGUGUCAAGCUUUCUGCGUCAAGCGUUCUGCAUUCAGCGUUCUGCGUCAAGCGUUCUGCAUCCAGCGUUCUGCGUUCAGCGUCAAGCGUUCUGCGUCAAGCGUUCUGCGUUCUGCGUCAAGCGUUCUGCGUUAA